rnacentral:rRNA from 1 species
UACGGAGGGGGCGAGCGUUAUUCGGAAUUAUUGGGCGUAAAGGGCGCGUAGGCGGCCUUGUAAGUCAAAGGUGAAAUCCCUCGGCUCAACUGAGGAACUGCCUUUGAAGCUGCAAGGCUUGAGGCCGGGAGGGGGUAGCGGAAUUCCCAAUGUAGCGGUGAAAUGCGUAGAUAUUGGGAGGAACACCAGUGGCGAAGGCGGCUACCUGGACCGGUUCUGACGCUGAGGCGCGAAAGCGUGGGUAGCAAACAGG